rnacentral:rRNA from 1 species
ACGCUGGCGGCAGGCCUAACACAUGCAAGUCGAGCGGUAGCACGGGAGAGCUUGCUCUCUGGGUGACGAGCGGCGGACGGGUGAGUAAUGUCUGGGAAACUGCCUGAUGGAGGGGGAUAACUACUGGAGACGGUAGCUAAUACCGCAUGACCUCGCAAGAGCAAAGUGGGGGGACCUUCGGGCCUCACGCCAUCGGAUGUGCCCAGAUGGGAUUAGCUAGUAGGUGGGGUAAUGGCUCACCUAGGCGACGAUCCCUAGCUGGUCUGAGAGGAUGACCAGCCACACUGGAACUGAGACACGGGUCCAGACUCCUACGGGAGGCAGCAGUGGGGAAUAUUGCACAAUGGGCGCAAGCCUGAUGCAGCCAUGCCGCGUGUGUGAAGAAGGCCUUAGGGUUGUAAAGCACUUUCAGCGAGGAGGAAGGCGUUGUAGUUAAUAGCUGCAGCGAUUGACGUUACUCGCAGAAGAAGCACCGGCUAACUCCGUGCCAGCAGCCGCGGUAAUACGGAGGGUGCAAGCGUUAAUCGGAAUUACUGGGCGUAAAGCGCACGCAGGCGGUUUGUUAAGUCAGAUGUGAAAUCCCCGAGCUUAACUUGGGAACUGCAUUUGAAACUGGCAAGCUAGAGUCUUGUAGAGGGGGGUAGAAUUCCAGGUGUAGCGGUGAAAUGCGUAGAGAUCUGGAGGAAUACCGGUGGCGAAGGCGGCCCCCUGGACAAAGACUGACGCUCAGGUGCGAAAGCGUGGGGAGCAAAC